UCAGAUGGAGCCUUAGAGGAGACGGAGGGAAGCCGAGCAGGGACACUGCAAGCCCCACAGAACAGCAAGAGCCAAACCACACAGGCAGAUGCUUCUCCCAUCUGGGCCCAGCUCCCCACUGGAGGCUGCCAAUCGCUGAGUCAGCAGAGAAUGGAAGCUCGAAGCAGAGGGCAGCCAGCCCCAGAAAAACAAAGGGGCAUGAAAGGUCCAGAGGAAGCCUUUCCCUGCCCUCCAGCCGUUACUUCCUCUCCGGUGGCCCCUCUGCCCAACUGAAGGGACAGACCUGGACUACAGCCCGACUUCCCUGCCUCUCAUCUUUUUAGCCCCGUGAUUCACACCCGGGGGGCAGUUCGGCGACGUCUGGAGACAUUUUUGGCUGUCACAGCUGUGGGGGAAGGUGCUGCUGGCGUCUGGUGGGUAGAGGCCGAGGACGCUGUCAAGACACCUUACAAAGCACACAGUCGCCCCACAAAAAAAGUGAUCUGGCCCUACAUGUCAACAGGGCCGCGGCUGAAAAGCCCUGUGUAUAGCCGGAUCCUGCCUUUCUAGCAGAAGUGGAGACAACGCUGCGCAGGAUCCCGGAGAACGCCCCCGCUGCAGAGCCACAGGCAGAAGCCUCUCUGGCUCUGGAAAGAGAAACCCAGGCAGUCACGGCCACCUGUGGGCUGCUGGAGGGGUGUGAGGUCCCAGAGAGCCCUCUUCACCCCCAUCCGCACUGACCUCCCGAGUUCUGGUUCUUUCUGGAGCACUGGGACAACUCCCCUGGGGCAGUGUCCCCCCUGCCCGCUCCCGCAGGUGCUCGGAGGGUAAAGGGGGUGGGGGAGAGGUACUCACAACGCCCAUAAGCGCCACCCCUGAGCCCACGUUGAUGACUGUGGGGAUGAUGUUGAACUUCCCUGCCUGGAGCCCAGAGAGACAAGGUGGGGUGAGGAAGGCAGCAGGACAGCGGGAUCCCCAGGGACUCCACCAGAGACAGCCUGGGGUCCCCCCAGCAUGCCCCACCCUCCCAGGACCUGCCCAGCUUCAGAAGGGGAGCCUCACCCACACACCUUGCCGUUCACCAUCACAUCAAAGCGGAUCCCAUAGGCUUUAAACAGCGUGCGGAACUCCACCCCAGCUGCGUCUCGGUAAUACUUGGCGAACCUGGGGGAGACAUGGCUCGGGGAGCCCUCGGCCUGCCUGGGUCUUCCCUGUUUGGCAACACAGGCUCCGCUGCCUUGGAGAUUUAUAACCCCACCCCCACCCCAGGACCCUGGCAUUCAGCAGCCCCAGGAAUGGUUGGAGACCCCCUUGCUGACGUGAAAUAAAAGAUUCGUUCAGAUCUUUGAAGUUCUUGCCAGACGUUCCCCAAGAGGCAAGGGCUUUCCCGCUACUGCUGGGCCAACCCGGGCCACCAAGGCCUCAGCUUCAGGGCAAGUCCAGAGCCAUGGCCGAUGCUUCUCUCCCACAGGCCCCCUGGCGGCCUCCCUGCACCUCCCACUCUGACACCCACCCCCAGGAAGGGGUGUCAUAGCGCUGGCACCCAGGCAAGGACAUGAAACGUGGACAGGGUCGUAAGGUGGCAGACUUAGCCCCACUUACCUGAA